AUCUCUUGGCGCAUGUGAAAUUCUCUAACUAUAUAUUAUAGUACAAUUGUCGAUCACUUUGACAGCUUUGAUGUUCAAUCCUAAGUUAGAGAGCAUACCCAAAUAGGUAAGAACAACUAGGCCACACAGAGUGGUUAAAGAGAUUUACUUAUUGGCUUGAACAAACAACCUCAUAUGAGAGACAAGAGAGUUUAACCAACUAGCUGAUUGAAUUAUCUUUCCAAAGGACAAAAAAGAGUGAGGAAUUUGAUGAGAACCGCAUCCAUUCGAAGGUACUCUCUAUUUAUUACAAUGUAUAUCAAUCGUAUAAAAUUUUACGUGAGUAUAUAUAGUUAUGUAUCAAAAUGAACAAAUUUACGUAUGAUAUAGUUUCUAGUUUCUUAACUAGUUGCAUUAACAUUUAAUCAAAUUUUAAACAAACAUAUGGAAAUUCAUCAAACUGAUGAUCAUUUAAAAAAGAAGUUAAAGGUAGGAUGAUCCAAAUUAUCCAAAACCUUGCCAUCACGCAAUUACUUGGCAAAUUCUAUGAGCUAGCUAGCUAGCUAUUCGAUCUAUUAAGCAAACUUUGCAAGCAUUUGACACUUGUCAAAAUUGUGUAAUGGCUCUAUACCUGAUCAUAGUUUAGGAGCAAACAAAGCAAGAGAUCUACUGAGCAAUUGAGGAGUACGCCAUCAGUUUUUGUUCAUCAUCUCCAUCAUUUCCAACUUUUAAUUUCCAACUUUUUCCAUCAUUCCAUUCAGAUGAAGACAUGGUCCUUCACAUCGCUGCAGGCUCAAGGUGAUGGAACAUUAACAAAGAGGGGGCUUGUAUACCAAGUUUGUUUUAAUUAACUCUAUAUGGAACGUAGUGCUCGCAACUGCGUAUGUAGUACUAGGAUUUAUAUAUGUUGGAACCAGGAAUGGAAAAAGGGGUAGGCUAAUCAUCAUUUGUGUUAUUUGUAUUGGGCGAAGGCCAAAAAAAAUUUUGGGCCCUGUUUCCGUUUUGGAUCCGGAUCCUCUCUGAGCAUUUUUCUCUCCUAACCUACCCAAGCUUUUCAUAAGAUAUUGGCAUGUGUCCGGGCUUAAUCUAAUGGCCUAUAAUGAUAGUUUUCCCUUGGAUUUUUUCCGGGAGAUAGUUUUCCACUUUUCCCUUGCUAUUCGUCUCAGUCUUCUACUCUUCUUCUUCUUCUUCUUCCAGAUUGCCUGCAUAAGUUAAUCAACAGAUCUCUAUCACUUUUUGGAUCCACUUUUUUAAUUUCCAAAUCUUUAAGAAGUAUAAUUAUGUUACGGGCUCUGGUUUAUUUGAAAUGUGGGGUGGAUAGAAUCAAUUUCAAAAGGGUUUGAAUUGGGGAUUUGUGGAUUUUCUUCUUCCAGCUGGGUCUGCUCUCUUGUUUGAUCUGUAUCUCUUAUGCUGACUUGGGAAGCUCGAACAAUAAGAUGAGAUUAAGCUACGUUUAGUCUUUGCUUGGGUUCUCUAUAGUAUCCAUCCAAUUCUACUACCUUUGUUGUCUGUGGUUCCCAGAAUUUCCACUAUUCUCAAGCUCCAUGUUGUUGAGUAGUAGAAACUAAUCUUUACCUUCAUUUCCUGGUGCUUUACCAUGUAAUAGGUCUCAGGCUUUCGAUAUGGUUCACAUCUUAUCACAGAAGAAGAAGAAGAAGAAGGAGAGAGAGAAGAGAGAGAGAUAUAUGAUUAUGAUGAUGAAUACGACAAAAAUAUAGAGGGUUUUUCUGUAAAGUCACCAAUUUUUGUUGUUGUGGAGGUAUGUAGACCA
rnacentral:lncRNA from 1 species